AUUUCAAGGUGGACAGGGACUGAGUGGCCAUCUAACGACUGGGCCCCCUUACCCUCCCCACUUUAUCAAAAAGCCCUAAUUGAGGAGUUCCAGGCUAGGAAGUCUAUACUUGCUUCCACCCUUCCAAAAAAUUCCCAGCAUGGAUUUCACCUGGGAUCUGACCACUCUGCAUGAAAGGCAAGGAUGCAGGGCAGAGAUCUGACCCUCAUGUUACUGAACAAACAUUUUCCAUAAGGUUCUUCUGGUGCCUUCUGACACCUACAGACCAACCAUUUAAAGGGGGGAAAUUGAUCCAAACAAUCUUCUUUGCAGUAAACUGAACCCACAACCAGCCCUGAUGAGGAAAAAUGCAGUUCAGGGCAAAGAAGAAGGUUCACAAUGGAAAACCCAGCAAAGCCUCAGAGAACAAGUUGUUCUUCGUCUCUCAUUGGCACAAUCACCAGUCUGGGAGGAAGGCCUCACCAUCCUCCUCUAGAUGGAUGAGGACCCUCAGAUGCAGGGCAGGUCCCCCUACACAGAAAUGACCAGAACACAGGUCUGAUCCUCAAGAGAGUCACAGCUGAAACGGACAUCAGACAUCGCUACAGGGGAUGGACCAAUCAGAGGGACUGACACAUCUCCUCCACCCAACAAGGCAGCCGUUUGCAGAUAGACCAGUCAGAGGGACUGACACAUCUCCUCCACCCAACAAUCGCAGCGUUUGCAGAUGGACCAAUCAGAGGGACUGACACAUCUCCUCCACCCAACAAUCGCAGCCGUUUGCAGAUGCGUCCACCAUUUUUCACCUUGGCCCCCAGGAAGCUCAGGCUCAG
rnacentral:lncRNA from 1 species